UGUAAUUAGACGACGGGUGAACUGCUGCAGUCGGACAUUGGGGAUGAAUGAAUCUAUAGGAAACUGUACCGAUCCCUUGGAAAUAUGACUGAAAUAAGAAUGAUGGAAAGGAAUCUGAAAGACAGGCUGUGGAGGUGAGGGGUCACACAGAGGGACUUUGAUUCUGUGGUGUUUGCUCUGCGUUCAAACCCCUCACACCUGAGCAGAGUUUGAGUUUGAAUGAGCUGCAGGAUUCAGGGGGAGAAGCUGCUCUCUCCGCUUUGCAAGAUCACCCACGCUGAACCGCAGAUGAGGUUAGCAGCGAAUUUGUGCUUCUGUCUCCAUGGACACCAGAAACUGCUCUUUGAUUCCUGUCAGUUCAGCUGAUGAAGGUCUGGAUUGGGCACUUCAGCACUCUGCUGGACCAACAAGCUUUUCUGGAUGAGCUCCCUGAGCAACCCAGCUAGUAACCUUUAACUCCAUAAAUCAAUUCCUUUUAAAAAAAUUUUUUUA